rnacentral:tRNA from 1 species
GCCUAUAGCUCAGUUGGUCAGAGCAGAGGACUCAUAAUCCUUUGGUCCACGGUUCAAGUCCGUGUGGG